CACGCUAGGUUUAUUAAACAAGAAAUCAUUUUAAACCAAGUUUUUCAGCUAAAAAAAUAGCCUUACGUAUAUGCUUUUUACUUAACAAGUAACGUAAUCGAAAAAUUGCAUGGUGUUCUAUGGUUGGGGAGAUUAAAAAUAUUUUCAUUGUCCUUAAAAAAAAAUCAUUGAUUUACUUAGCUUUAAGAGAACAGAAGAUAAGCAACAACAUUGAC
rnacentral:lncRNA from 1 species